AUCAACUUGUCCUGUGGGAGAUAAAUAUGUAACGACCCGGUUUUCUCAACCGGAUCUUGUUUUCUUUCUCUCUAUAAUUAAUUGGACCAAACUCAAUUUAUUCCCUUUUGGUUUAGUUAAACCGUGAUUACAUAUAUAUAAAACGUGUUAUCUCCUUCUCGAUUCUAACCUAGCCGCAUACCUCCAUGCUUCAUGAUUUCUCAUCUCCUUCCCAUCUCUCUCGCCCAGUACAUGUGUCACUUCUUCUCCUUGUGUGCGUAAGUCUAUCAGAGAACCCGAUACGAGUCGCAGCAACCAUCCUACCUCAAGCGUUGUCCACAUGAGCAAAGACGAGAAGGAGAGAAGACGUACGAACCGGAGCCACCAUCUCAUCAUCACCAACCACCACUGAGUUGUGCCCCUGUGAACCUAAAUACACCAGACGUGUGACCUAUAGCACCAGAGAUACUUUUGUGCAGCAGAGAUUUCAUCAUGUCUUAAGCUGAGGAGAAGAGAUGGAUACAUCAGACCCAUGGCUGAGGAGUGGUUUUGCGAGAGGUUUCUAGUAUGAUCCAGGGGGUUCUAGGAAACGAGUCAUGGCUCUUUGGAUAGAUCUCGUUUCCAGGAGUCUGUAGAAACAAACGGAAUCAAGAUCGGAGUUGUACAGUAAAAGUUAUUGACAUGCUUCUUGGACAAGAAUAAGCUUAAGCUGUUGGAAUGCUGAAACAGUUCCAACCAGUGUUAGAGUAAAGGCGAAACGGUCAACCUUAACAAAAGCUUUCAGUCUGGAAAUUUUACACUUGUUUUCGUGAGAGGUGUUGGUGCAGUCUACGUUUGACCCAUCUGGAGACGAAGCUAUUUUGAUUAAUCAAAUGGUGUCCGAUCGGAGUAAACCCUUCGGCUACGGAUAUGUGACAUCUAUGGGUACAUUAUGACCGGAGGGAUUGAAAAGUUAACGAGACUUUCGGAGUUGCUGUGAUAGAGCCAUCAAGGUCUAUUCUGUGUUUCUCAGGUUUUCAUUAGAACCCGUGGCAAAGAUGAGACUGACGAGCAAGAGUGAUUGCUAUCGGGAUGGUGCUUUGGGAGUUUUAUUCUUGUCUUUUUCAGACUUGCGGAUUUUAUGCUUUUAUUGAUAUUUUCGGGAUUUAUUAUGUUAUUUGGAUUUAUGGCUAUUUAUUGAAUUUACGACUUUGGAGUGGACUUUUGAGAAGUAAUAAAUGGAGAUUUCAGACUUUUUAUUUAUUUAAGUUAUUUCGGAAAAUACGGGUGUUACAAUUUGGUAUCAGAGCGGGGUUCCGUCCCGACUCUGACCCGGGAUGGCGAUUUGUUAGGACGUGGUUUUGGCUCGGUUUUGACUCGGUUUUAAUCCGGUUUAAUCGAUUUUAAAAGAUUUUUGAAUUUGGGGAUUUGAGAGUUUUAAAGAAAGAAAAAUACAGCACCUUUCCGCUCAGUAACUUCUGACCCAAUUGUCUUUUUAUUGACGAUGAGUUUAUCAUCGUCAUCCGCUCUCUAGCUAACAAGGUUUCAGCCAGAUGUUCGAGAGAUGGAUGAUGUCACAGUUUGAUAGAUUGCUCAGGUGUGUAUCAGUUUCGUCAGCCGUGUUCAGAGAUUGUCCGCAUGUGGAUGUGUGACGUUGUUGCCACCACACAAACUUCAAACCAUCGCUCCACGAGUUUUUGUUAUUGGAGAUUAUGUGGUAUGAGAUGUGAGCCAUGAGUUGGCAUGUGUUAUUCGUGUGUAUGAGUAUAUUUACUGCCUUGGAGGCAUGGUUAUUUUGUAAACUCGUGGGGAUCACUUUUGGAUUGGGGUGCGACAGCUUGCGUUGUGUGAUAUUGGAGUUACGUUUGAUAUGUUUUCCAGUUUUUGGCAAUGUUGAUCAUUUCAGAGAUGUGUCAGUUCGGACAGCUGACAUAGAAACGUUGGGAGCUAUUUAUAUUGAUUGAUGUGUACCAGUUAUGCUUGGAGGGCCGAUUGGUUCAGAGACUCGUUAGAGAUGGAGUUUUGUUUUGCGAUAUCAUUCUUGGAUGGACUUGUUAUCACGACAUCAAGUACUGUUGGAUUGCCUGAGGGCAAGAGUUCACAUUUCUGGAGCAGAGCAGAUUUUAUUUGCAUACAUGCUACAUGCAUAUGAGUUAUUGGAUAUGGGGAGUAAAUGGAUUUUGGUGAUCAUUUCGAUGGUCAACAUGAGUUGCAGGAUCUUCUAGUUAUCUAAGAGUAUGGAGAUGUAUUUGAGGCCUUGGAAGGGCUGUCACCAGCCAGAGGAGAUGUUCUUAUGAUCGAGUUGGAGUCAGGGACAGCACUGGUUUCACGAGUUCCAUACUGAUUAGCGUUAGCAGAGAUGGCUGAGCUGAAAGAACAUAUGGAAGAUUAAUCAGACAAGAGAUUUAUUUAGGCCGAGUAAUUCGCUGUGGGGAGCACCAGUGUUGUUUGUAAAGAAAAAAAUGAUGGGAGUUUUCAGGCUUUGUAUCGACUACAUAGACUUGAACAUGGUAACCAUCAUAUUGAUGAGUUGUUGAAUUAGCUGCAUGGAGGUUCACGGUUCUCGAAGGUUGUCUUGGCAUCAGGACAUCAUCAGAUUGCUAUAGUUGAGGAGUAUGUACGGAAUGUGGGUUUCCGUAUAUGUUAUGGAUAUUAUGAGUUUUGGUGAUAUCAUUUUGGAUCGACGAAUGCACCGAUAGCAUUUGAGAAGCUUAUGAAUGAUGUCUUUCGUGAACACUUGGACAAGUGCGUGAUUGUACUCAUCGACGAUCCCAUUGAGUUAUUCUUGGAGUAGAGGGAGCAUGAUGAGCGUUUGCGGAUUGUGUAUUGAUGCAUGAGGAUCAGGUCAUCCUAUAUACAUUGCAUCAGUUGAGACCUCACGAGACCCACUACCCUAUUCAUGAUUCGUAGUGGCUGCAGUGGUAUUUGCGUUAUAGUUUUGGAGAUUGUAAUUGUACAGGAAGGAAGUUCAGAUUCUCUGGGAUCAUUGGAGAGGCUGAAAUCUAUCUUCAUUCAUUAAAACUUGUACUUGGACAGUGCAGUUGGAUUGAGUUGGUAGCAGGCUACAGUUUGGAUAUUGCAUACCAUCUGGUAAAGACAACCAGGUGACAAAUGCCUUGAGUAGGUACAUGAGCAACGUAUCAGGAACCAAAGAGGUUCAUGAGUUUACUGGGAUAUUUGCUAGUCUCAGAUUGUGUGCCAUUACUGUCGAUGGAGAGACAGAUGACCUUGGGACUUUGGAGCAGGCAGUUUUGCUAUGGAGGAUACCCCAAGCGCAUGUUAGCGUUAUGGCUUUGUAAGACGAUCGAGAUUGGGAGUAUUGUUAUCAUAAGUGUUGAGCGGGAUGUACCUGUACCGAAACCGAGUUGUGUGUUGGACGAUAAGCUGUUAAGAAAAGGGAUCUUGCAGCAAAUACAUCACUCGUGUUUCUCUACCCAUCUGAAACACCAAGGCGUACAAAGAUAUGAAGUGUUAAUUGUAAUUGGUCUAGUAUGAAGAGAGUUGUAGCUUCAUUGCGUCACAGUGUCAGAUAUGUCAGAUGGCUAUGACAGAGGAUCAGUUAUCUAUAAUGUUAUUUUUGAGCUUGCUUUUGCCGGAGUGGAAAUGAGGCAUGGUGAUUAUUGACAUUGUUAUUGGAUUUUAAAUCACCAUAUGUGGAAAGGAUGCCACAUGGGUAGUCAUGGAUAGACUUACCAAGUCAGCCCAUUUCCUAAGUAAUUAAGAAGACAUUCAGAGCUAAUCAGUUGGAGCACACCUACAUUAUUGAGUUUGGGAGGUUUCAUGGAUGUCAACAUUGUAUCGGAUUGGGAUUCGAAGUUCACGUCUACAUUUUUGGAGUCAUUCAGAAGGAACUUGGGACAAAGAUCCACAGGAAUACAACUUAUUAUCAGCAUACAUAUGGUUAGUCAAAGAGGACUAUUCAGACUUAGAGGACAUGCUCAGGGAUUGCGUCUUACAGUGGGAUGGAAGAUCGGAAAGCAUUACAUCUAGCAGAGUUUGCCUACAUCGACAACUAUCGUUCGAGCAUUGAGAUGGCACCGUAUGAGGCUAUUUAUGGUAGGCCUUGUCGUAUACCACUUUGUUGGACCAAAGUGAGGGAGUGACAUGAGUUGGAACUAUUAAUGGUUCAAGAGAUGGUAUAGAAAAUGGACAUGUUCAAGGAUUGGCUUUGGGACGCCCAUGACGGCAAAGGAUUUAUGCAGCGAAGCGCCGUAAGGAUUUGGAGUUACAUAUGAGUGAUCUAGUGUACCUGAAAACAAUGACAUUUCAGGGAGGACUUAAGACUCAUAAGCUGAAGCAACUAAAACCGAGGUACAUUGGACUGUAUCCUCCGGUGGAGCGAAUUGGAGCAGUUGAUUGCAGUUAUAUUAUCAGCAGUGUAUCAGACUUCCAUGACGUGGUCCAUGUGUCAAGUUUGAGGAAGGUCGGGAGAGGGCCAAAGCUCAUUUUGCAGCAGCCGCUAAGUGCUCAUGGCAAAAAAAAAAAAAAAUUGUAUGCACCUUGUCAGCCAAUAGAUAUUAUAAAUCGGCAAGUAAAAGAGGUUCAGGAGAUGAUGACCAUGUUGUUCAAAUGUGGUUGAGUAAGAAAAACAAGAUCCAGGAGGAGACCUAAAAGACUGAAACUCUGAUGAUGAUUGAUUAUCCAGAGCUUUUUCAGGAUGGUAUUUGACAGCCGCCUCAAGAUUUGAAUUCGAGGGCGAAUUCUAGUUAAGUGGGAAAGAAUUGUAACGACCCGGUUUUCUCUACCGGAUCUUGUUUUCUUUCUCUCUUUAAUUAAUUGGACCAAACUCAAUUUAUUCCCUUUUGGUUUAGUUAAAUCGUGAUUACAUAUAUAUAAAACUUGUUAUCUCCUUCUCGACUCUAACCUAGCCGCAUACCUCCAUGCUUCAUGAUUUCUCAUCUCCUUCCCAUUUCUCUCGCCCAGUACAUGUGUCACUUCUACUCCUUGUGUGUGUAAGUCUAUCAGAGAACCCGAUACGAGACGCAGCAACCAUCCUACCUCAAGCGUUGUCCACAUGAGCAAAGACGAGAAGGAGAGAAGACGUACGAACCGGAGCCACCAUCUCAUCAUCACCAACCACCACUGAGUUGUGCCCCUGUGAACCUAAAUACACCAGACGUGUGACCUAUAGCACCAGAGAUACUUUUGUGCAGCAGAGAUUUCAUCAUGUCUUAAGCUGAGGAGAAGAGAUGGAUACAUCAGACCCAUGGCUGAGGAGUGGUUUUGCGAGAGGUUUCUAGUAUGAUCCAGGGGGUUCUAGGCAACGAGUCAUGGCUCUUUGGAUAGAUCUCGUUUCCAGGAGUCUGUAGAAACAAACGGAAUCAAGAUCGGAGUUGUACAGCAAAAGUUAUUGAUAUGCUUCUUGGACAAGAAUAAGCUUAAACUGUUGGAAUGCUGAAACAGUUCCGACCAGUGUCAGAGUAAAGGCGAAAUGGUCAAUCUUAACAAAAGAUUUCAGUCUGGAAAUUUUACAGUAAGUAGUUAACUCUUUCAGUUAUCAUCUCCAACAAACAGAUUGUCAUUCCGAGUUAUUUUCUGAGAGUUAAGCUUGUUUUCGUGAGAGGUGUUGGUGCAGUCUACGUUUGCGACCCGUCUGGAGACGAAGCUAUUUUGAUUAAUCAAAUGGUGUCCGAUCGGAGUAAGCCCGUUGGCUACGGAUAGAGGACAUCUAGGGAUACAUUAUGACUGGAGGGAUUGAAAAGUUAACGGCUAGUUCUUGAGUUAUGCAUCUGUUUUCUCUAGGGUUCAGUUCUGGCAGAAUCAUCGUAUUCAUUUAUUUUCAGAGACUUUCGGAGUUGCUGUGGUAGAGCCAUCAAGGUCUAUUUUGUGUUUCUCAGGUUUUAUUUAGAACCCGUGGGCGUGGGUGCAGAGACGUUUGCAUUCGACGCAGCUUUGGAGGGCGGGGGUACAGAGACAGACUGUACUAGCGACGCAGCGUAUGUAUAUAUAUAUCAGUACGAGGAGAUGCGGGGUGUAUGAACUAGCUAUAUGCUAUCAUCGCAUUGUUUGUGUUGUGUUUGUGUGAUGUUUUAGGCGUCUUGUUUGUUCAUGUUAGAGCUAAACUUCCAUAGUAGGAGUUCUAUUUACUCAAGUAAGUGGUUUGCUUGUUUAGCAUCUCAUACCUCACGGAGUAACUCCCCUGUUACUCACCCCUCAUAUUCCUUCCCCUUUCAGAUGAGACUGACGAGCAAGAGUGAUUGCUAUCGGGAUGGUGCUUUGGGAGUUUUAUUCUUGUCUUUUUCAGACUUGCGGAUUUUAUGCUUUUAUUGAUAUUUUCGGGAUUUAUUAUGUUAUUUGGAUUUAUGGCUAUUUAUUGGAUUUACGACUUUGGAGUGGACUUUUGAGAAGUAAUAAAUGGAGGUUUCAGACUUUUUAUUUAUUUAAGUUAUUUCAGAAAAUAAGGGUGUUACAAAAUAUUUCAGGGUUUAUAAUACUGAUUAGGGGAUGAAAUGUUUUGGUUAAAAUCACAAUUUUAAUUAAAAUACAUCAUAUACAAAAAAAAUCUAAAUUUUUAUUAUAUGAUUAAUGUAAUUGUGUAAUUUAUUUUAAUAAUAAAUAAUUAAACAAAAAUGAUAGAAAGUAUACAGAUUGUUAGCAAAUCUUUGUUAUUUAAAAUCAUUAAUUGUCAUAUAUAUCUUAAUCACAUUAGGUAAUUCCGUAGGUUUAAUUUAAGGAAAAAAUAUAUAAUAAUUUCAAUUUGAUAAAUGAAUGAUCCAUAAUGGACAUACUAUAUAAUAUAACAUUCCCUACAAUUUAAUUUUAGCUAGCAAAAUUCUCAAUUGAUUCUAAAGCCGCCAUGUAAGCAAAAUUAGCAUUAUAAUUACGUGACAACUCAGCAGGUCACUUUUUUAAUUAGUACAAACUACAUGUUAUAACUUUUUAAAUGUUUUUCAAUUAAUAUAUAAGGGAUACCCAAACUAAGCCUAGUCGCCUAUAUAUUCAAAAAUAUAGGGACAUCCACACGUCUGACAUAACCCCUUAGUUAGUCGUUCAAACACGCAUCCAUAAUAAUGAUGGAAGCGUUUCAGAACUGUUUUCAAAACCACUUUCUCUUUAGUGCAAAAACCAGAAAAAUCAUUUAUUUUAUUUUCGUUUUGCAUCUCUUUAACCAUUAUCCAUUCUUUUAUUCAUUCACAAGAUAGUUCUAAUCUAGGUAUCGAAAUGGUUGCUUCCAAACUCGUAAAAUUAUCAAAAGAUCUAGCAGAUGAAACAAAUGUCUCUUUGCCUAAGGUGAUGUUCGCUGACAGCGAGGAACCGUGCGGCGUUAGGGUUCUCACCUAUCAGUCCUUGCGAGCGAUCAACACCAUCCUGACGAAGACGAGAUCCAAUAUCUCCUAGAGUCCUCAUUUGGUAAGAUAGUCGUUAUAGCUGAAAAACCUGUCUUUUCUAGAAGAUUUGGUAGAGUCCUUCUUUCCAGGCAACUAAAGGCCAAAAAAACAAGAAGCUUGGUUUCGAUUAGCUGGAAAGCAUAUUCGGUUUUCAUUGCGAAAGUUUUCCAUAGUGACGAGACUUGCUUGCGGCGACUUCCCAAAAAACCGAAGGUGUAGAAAAACAUUAACGAGAAACCCUAUUGGUCGGAGCUCUUUGGUAGUGUUGAAGAGAAGCGAGUAUUAAGAGAUGUGAAGAUGGUUAGGAAAAAACGGUUAGAAAUCGAGAUAUCCGGAUGAAACUCGCAUGUCUUGCAAUUGUUUCAUCCGUUUUGCUGUCCACAAAUCUCAAGAUGAAGAUGCAUAAGGAACAUGCUGAGCUGCUGGGAGACAUCGACGAAUUUUUUGCCUUCCCAUGGGGUCGACUAGCAUUCAACAUGCUGAUGACUAGCAUCAAAAAAGGGAUGAAAUUUCUCUAUCCUAAAAUACAAUAGCACUGAAAGGGUUCACACUAGAUCUACAGCUUGUAAUUGUUGAAGAUGUCCCUUUUUGACUAAAGUCGUUCAAGAAGCAUGUUCCUCAUCUGAAUCUGACAGCGACCAAAAUGAGAUUGAUUGUCUGGUAAGCAAAACAAAGAAGAAGACUUUGAAUCUUGCCCAUGCUCUUGAAGUGGACAGAAAAGCAGAGGUUCUGGUCAGAAGCAUUAUUCCACAAGAUCCAAAACGACUCUUCGAAGAGUCCCUAUUUGUAUUGGCAGAUGAAGUUACACUGACAUCAAAGUAGAAAAAAUUCUCAGGCUUAUCUAUGCAAAUUAUGUCUUCUCAAAGGAUAUGUUCAAAGGUGGAGAAACCAAAUCCGAUGUAGAGAAAAUGCGUGAGUAAUCCAAAGCUGCCACUAAAAAGAAGCAACCAAUUAACAAGCAUACACUAACUGUUGUCUUUGAUGAAGCCAGAGUUAGCUCAAUUUUUAUUUCCGUUCUGAAACCUAAGCUUCAUAGGGUUGAUGGGAAUGUUGCAGCGGCGCUCGCUUCCGUUAAAUAUUCUGCUCUCGCGUACAAAGCUUCUGUUGUUGCAGCCGUGGAGGCAAUGUUUACGGCUUUCAAAGCCGAAUCCUUUCUUCUGUUGCCCCCGAAUGCUCAGCCUGCCGCUCAGGCACAACAUUCUACCCUACCCCACCACGUGGAAACGGUGGCAUGGCCGGUAUCUCAGAACAUGCAGACAGAGGUGGUGCUGACGAAAAUGAUCAGAUUAUCAAAAAUGUCAUGGAAAAUCUUAGUCAAUAUUCAACCCCACCUGGUUCUGCUCAACGUUGUCAUGUAAGUGUGCCUGACCUUUUUUUUUCAAUUUUACCAAACAACGAGAUUACACAUUCACUGUAUCAUCUUAGACUUUUUGUGUAUGCGCAUAUGAUUGAAUCCAAAACCUAUUAUAUUAGCUUUUCUUAUCUACGUUUCGUACUUUCUCACUCUUACCAUUUGUAAUUAUAUCGAUACAAUAAUGGAGACAACUGGGUUAUUGUGGUUGAACAUUUUCAUUUUUUAAAUCCGGAUCCCAAGAGAUACUUCACGUUAUUGUGUUUUUGUCGUCACGUCCUGUUGACAACAUAUUCUCCUAUACCUAGAUUUAAUUUCAGGUUUCUAACGCCCGCUCACAACAUCGACAAUCCCACAUGCCCUCGUCUGCCCGUCUAAAAGAAAACAACCAGAAACUUACUUCUGGGUCGGCCCACAGCCAGACCCACAAGCGCACGGAACAAAUUCUAUGAUCCCUUCCUUUUCUUUGGGCCAGACUCAGGAGGACCCAACAGGGGGCGUAGAUGAUGAGAUGGCAGACAAUGACCAUGAAAAUGAGAUGGUAGACAAUGACAAUGAACUGGUCGUGGACCCAAAUGAUGAUACUAUUAUUUGUCGCAAAAGCAAGCGCUUGAGUAUUGUCCCUUCGACAUUGAUUACUAACUAACAAUGUGGUACUACCAUUCUUAACUAUGCCCGGGAGGGGCAAAUGUGUGGGAAUAGUGACUAUGAGGCGUCGGUUAUUCGUGAGAAGUACGUGCGCCUCACCACAAUACUCAAGAAACCUUGAUAACAGUUCUAUUCGUCAACAUAUUCGGAUAUCACUCAUCGAAGCUAGGAUUUUAUGUUUGAUACACAUAUAAAAAAAUUGGGCUUCGUACCCAAUCCUUGAUUUCAGUGUGAUCAACGUUGAUGGUCUGUCAGCCACUGGCAAGAACAUUAUUGACAUUAAGGAUAGAAACUGGUUGCUAUCUUAAAAGGUCUUAGAUAUCUUUACAAGGCUAGUUAGAUCAAUGUUCGAUAAUCAAGUUACUGCCAAAGGUGACAACACAUCAAGAUUUCUUGAUAGUCAGUUUGCGGCGAUGUUGCCUUGGAACUAUCCAAAGUUCAAAAAGGUCAAGCCGAAGGGGCAGGUGAAUUUUCUUAGAAAAAGUUACAGCUUUGUCACCACUGCAACGCGUCUCUAUCUUCCAUUCAACCUCGACAAAAAGCAUUGGAUUGGCUUAUGUGUGGAUUUCACAACUUCAAAAAUUUAUGUUUUUGAUUGCAACUCAGGACUUCAAACAAACACUGCGCUAGGUAAAGAACUCCUAUCUAUUUCAGAAAAGUUUAUAUUCCUUAUGAAGCAAUGUGGUGCUUCGGAUGUGGUUGUUGAUAAGCCACUGGCUGUUGAAAAAAUCAAAGGUGUGGCACAAAACACCAACCCAGCCAAUGCUGGAAUCACAACAUCUUUGUUGAUCCAAACACAUGCUCUCUUUGGUCCUUAAAUGUGUAGGUGUAUCACUUUGUCAAUCAUCGCGGAUGAAGCACAAAGGGCCGCUAUUAUGAUCUAUAAGUUUCUCAUGAAACUGUAGGACAUAUUUUCUUCUUUUGUUUAAAUCUUUCUUUUAUGAUUGCAUAACAAUGAUUCUUGUUGCUUUCUUCUGUUUCCGGAUUUCAUAUUCUGUUGAAUUAUAUUUAUCUUAAUCAUCACCUUUUUCAUUUGAA